AUCCAGUCCUCUCUUUUUGCCUCCCUGGCCUGUUCUCCUAAAUCAGAUGUCAGGAAAUAGACUGAGGAAUGAGAUGGCCUUAUCUGAGCUGUUACCAGGCAUUGUGAAAGGGAGCUACUGUUGAUCCUACUCCUGCCAUGAAUGUCAUGACAGCCUUUCAGGGACAGAGAAUGAACUCCGUGUGGGGAGGGGAAAAAUGCCCUAGCACUUGGUACUUGGGAGGCAGAGGCAGACCGAUCUUGGUAAGUUCAAGGCCAGUGUACAUAGGAAAUGAGAUUUUUGUUGUUACUGUUGUGUUGUUCAUGAUUUAUUUAUUUUUAUUCACAUUACAUCCCAAUCACAGCCCCCUUACAUAGGAAGUUUUAAGCCAGCCAAAGCUACAUAAUAAGACCCUGUCUCAAAAACAAAGAACCAAAGAAAGAAAUUAGAUACCAGCUGAUUGUGGUGGUUCACAUACUUGGGAGGCUAGGACAGGAAUUCAGUACCAUCCUCUGUUACCUUCCUCUUCACAUUAGAGACCCACCCUGUCACAAAAACAACAGCAAAAAACCAAACCUAGGGUCCAUGCUAGACGGUCACUUUCCAUUCUGAGCAUGCUUACUUUUGUACUGUCUGGAUGGGAGUAUGUGUGUCGCAUUGUACUGUUAAGAUUGGAGGGAGAGGCUUUGCUGCUGAGCUGCCUCAGCAAAAAUGCAUUGUUCACAUUCUGGAGGCUGGAAGUUCAAGGUGAAAGGACUGCAAGUUCAGUCUUCAAUGUCUGCUGGGGCUGUAGAAGGUGGUGGUCAGGGAGGGAUGAACAGGCUUCCUUGAGUGUCACAUGAAGGUAGAACCAUCAUGAAUUAAUUACCUGCCAAAGGCUUAUGCCCUCACCCCACUCCACCCCUUUGAAACAUGUUCUCUUUUGGCCCAGUCUGGCCAAAUAGAGUCAAAAUAGGUGUGUGCCACAAUGCCCUCCAAAGCCCUGCUUAAUUGUUGCAUUAGAAGUAGAUUUUGACGUGCAAAUUGGUUUUUCUUUUUUGGAGUUUUGAUAUCGUUUUGAGAUUAGCUCAGGCCAGCACACUUCUCUACCUCAUCUACCCACUGCUGUGACUACCCAUAUGCACCAUCAUACUAGACUAGUAUGUUUCUUUGUUUGUUUUUGUGGUGCACAGGUAUAACCCCCUCUGUGUCUCUGUGACUUUGGGGCUCAGGUGUAUUGCCUGGACUGCCUUCUGCAAAAGCCAGUGGUCUCGUCUCAGGAAACAUCCUGCCAGACCCCUUUCCUCAGUGAGUCAACUCAAUAUGACUGAGUCUGAAACUCAGUGACAUCACUUCAGAAGUUCCAUCCUAACUUGUCCUGAGGUCAGCUAUCUGAGGAGGUCAAGACAGUUCUCUAGAGCUUCACUCUUGUUUUAGACAUGGAAUUAGAUUUGAGGAAUGAUGAUUGGUUGGGGUUUUGGUUUUGUUUGUGUUUUUGUUUGUUGUUGGUUUGUUGUUUUUUUUUUAAAUAACAUGUAUAAAGGGGCUGGAGAGAUGGAUCAGUGGUUAAGAACACUGGCUGCUCUUCCCAGGGACCUGGGUUCAAUUCCCAGCACCCAUGGGGCAGCUCACAGUUGUCUAUAACUCUAGUUCCAGAUGGUCUGACAGCCACACACAGACAUAUAUGCAGGCCAAACACAAAUGCACGUAAAGUUAAAAUAAAUUAUUGUUAAAAUGUGUAUGAGUUUUCCCUGCAUGUAUGUAUACCAUGUACUUGUGGUUUCCAGGGAGGCCAGGAAAGGGCAUCUGAUUCCCAGGAACUAGUGUUAGAAACAGUCGAGUUGAAUUGUGUGGCCUAAGCUGAUCUUGAACUAUAUUCAAGCUAUCCUUUCCACCUCAGCCUCCUGAGUAGCUUCAACUACAGGCAUAUGCCACCAUGCCUGGUCCAGUCCUAGGGAAAGGGACACAGUAAUGAACCUCUUGGGUGAACUUUCUGCCCCUAUGGGGCCUCUAUGAAGCAAAGAUAUGACCCCAUUUACCUAUAAAGUUGUUUUGACACCAUGCAUGUGCUGUGGUGUGUGUGUAGGAUGGCUCUGCAAUUAAGAGUUAUUUGUGCUGGGCAGUGUUGUCAAAGCAUUUGGGAGGCAGAGGCAGGCCUAUCUCUGAUUUUGAGGACAGCCAGGGCUGUACAGUGAAACCUGUCUCAAAACAAAGAGUUGCUCAUUCUUGCAGAAGACUGGGGUUAGAGCCCCAGAAUCCACAUGGUGGUCCAUAACCAUCCAUAACUGCAGUCCCUUCUGACCUCCAAGGGCACCAAGCAUGUUGGUGGUACACAGACAUAAUUGCAGGCAAACAUACAGCAUGAGUAAAUGUAAUUAUACAUUUUUUAAAAACU
rnacentral:lncRNA from 1 species